GACGAACGCUGGCGGCGUGCUUAACACAUGCAAGUCGAACGGAAAGGCCCUGCUUUUGUGGGGUGCUCGAGUGGCGAACGGGUGAGUAACACGUGAGUAACCUGCCCUUGACUUUGGGAUAACUUCAGGAAACUGGGGCUAUAACCGAAUGGAACCCCUGCUGGAAGGGGGGGGGUGGGAAGGUUCGGCGGUUGGGGAUGGACUCGCGGCUUAUCAGCUUGUUGGUGGGGUAGUGGCUUACCAAGGCUUUGACGGGUAGCCGGCCUGAGAGGGUGACCGGCCACAUUGGGACUGAGAUACGGCCCAGACUCCUACGGGAGGCAGCAGUGGGGAAUAUUGCACAAUGGGCGGAAGCCUGAUGCAGCAACGCCGCGUGCGGGAUGACGGCCUUCGGGUUGUAAACCGCUUUCGCCUGUGACGAAGCGUGAGUGACGGUAAUGGGUAAAGAAGCACCGGCUAACUACGUG
rnacentral:rRNA from 1 species